rnacentral:rRNA from 1 species
AUUGAACGCUGGCGGCAUGCCUUACACAUGCAAGUCGAACGGCCACGUGGGCUUCGUGCUGGUGUCGCGUGGCGAACGGGCGGGUAAUUAACCCGAGCGUGCCCAGUAGUGGGGGCUAGCCCGGCGACAGCCGGAUUAAUAUCGCAUACGACCAGAGGUUGAACGGGGGGGUCCGAAAGUGAUCGACCGAUUUGCUGUGCCUUUGUCGGAUUAGCUAGUUGGUGUGGUAAAGGCUUACCAAGGCGACGAUCCGUAGCUGGUCUGAGAGGCCGACCUGCCACACUGGGACUGAGACACGGCCCAGACUCCUACGGGAGGCAGCAGUGGGGAAUUUUGCACAAUGGGGGAAACCCUGACCGAGCAACGCCGCGUGCGGGAUGAAGGCCUUCGGAUUGUAAACCGCUUUUGUUCGGGAAGAAAAACUGUGGAAUUAUACCCCGGGGGGAUGACGGUACCGAAAGAGUAAGCACCGGCUAACUACGUG